ensembl:lincRNA A930029G22Rik uncharacterized LOC110335388
GGAGAGGCAACCGGGGCUCAGCUCAUCCUCGGUCCCCGCGCCAGCCUGGCGAUUCACCGCCGAAGGAGCAGGGCUCUUCUAACCGCUUCCACCGAAGCAGGAAGGACGGAAGGGGAAGCCAGACAGAAAGGGAGCUGGCUGCCAAUAUAAAGUCUGUCUUCUGCUCUGCCUGCCUAUACAAAAUGCUCCCAGAGACAAUGUGAGAAGGCCUGCAAUUUUCUGUGCUUCUGGCAAUGGGAAGGGGGGUAGAUAAGGAAAGAUUCCCCCCCCCCCCCAGAUGAUGAACGCUGCCCAAGCUCACAUCGGUGAAGGGAACCCCUGUCAUUCGGUCGAAUGCAACCGCCAAUGCAGACGUGACUUGUCAAAGCUACUCAUCCAAGUGUAAAUGCAUCUCUGAAGCCCCGGCAGGCAGAAGUACCCUCCCCACCCCCACGGGCUUUGCAGCAUCAGCCCAUGUGUACACUCGGAUCUCUAAGGAAAUCAGCAUCAUCGACGUGAAUGACAGGUACGCCCGAUACUGCUGCUGCUGCUGCUGCGGUCAGAUGCUCCGCCGGGGCUGUCCACUCCACGGGCACUGAAAACUUCAGGGAAGGUCUCUCUCGUGGCCAGUGACAAAAACAGAUGACAAUCAGAGCAAAGCACGCAUACGGUAGAAUCAUCAGAACUCACAGAUGCCCCGGCCCCAGCGGCGACACCGCGGCGUGGCGAUGCCCCCGUGGCUUCGGAAAUACCCGCUAUCCCUUUAAAAAAAAGUCUCCCCGCAGGCCGGAAGUGACCGCACGGCGCCACCAGUCGGGCUCCCCGGUGCAGCGCAGCUUCGAGCCUCGCGCACGGCCGCGGCCCCGUGGGUUUUCUGCUCUCGCAGCACUUCGCCGCCGCCAGUCCUCUCCGCGCGGGCAGUUCGGUCACUAAGUCCCUGAGACGCGCCGCUUCCCCGCGCUGCAGCCCACGCCAGGCCUGCUUCCGGGUACCGCCUGCGCUCCCGGCCCGCUCUAGUGACGCACUUCCGGCAGUGACCAGGCUGGGCGCCGCCCCCAGCUGCCACGUGGGCGGGGCGAGCCUUGCCCUGGGCUCCGGGGACAGCGAGCUCCUGCACCCGGGAGGGACGGCUCCGCCACGCCUCGUUGUCUGGGCUCCCUUACGGUCCUGGUCGGAAAUGGAUAGAAUCCACCAGACCAUACGACCCGGGGCCUAACUCUCCAGCCCUGUGACCGCGGCCGCCUGUGUUCCAGCUCUCCCUUGGCUUUGCCCAGGACCCCUGUCGCUUGGCGCAGGGACCUUCAGAAGUUGAAAGGGUUUGCCAGAGGCAUCCCAACCACCCUUUCGAAGCCAAUCUAAGAAAGGGCCACAUGGUGUCACCCACCCUCUUGGACUGAAUAGCACAGGUCUUCCUAGGGUUUCCUCCCGGAAUUACUUAGUUUUAACACAUUCUGUUUCAUCCUCUUCUCACAGGUUGUGCCUUUUGGAUCUAGAAGUUCAGGCAGAUAGCGUUCACUUUCAAUUUUUCUUUGUAUCUCUCACGAUGCUGUACGACUUGACCUCAUAAUCUGGUGUCUGGUUAAGUAUAAAGAAACUGUUCUUCUCACCCCUCCACGGGGCUGUUUGGAUUGUUUAUUUUGUAAUAACGUAGUAUACCGUUUAGAAAGCACAGGAAACAUAGCUUGGGCGUUUUGGGUGUUUCCUGCUGAAAAUUGUGAGCAUAAAGUUUCAUA